CUGUGGAAACACCUGGAUAUGAAAAGAUGAAGCAAAAAACAACAACAAAAAAAAGGUGCUGAUGCAAUAACUGCUGUCGAAUCAUUAUUUCAAGAGGGGGAAAAACAUUUUGAGGAAGAGCAAAAGCAUAAAAAUGCCAUAUGUAAAGAACUUUUCUCUUGCCAUGUGGGAAGGUAUGUUUAAGUGAAGAGGCGGUCCAGUAAUGGCUGCACUGACUGACUGCAAUGUCUCUUCCAAUGAGAACAGUAACUGUUUGAUCACUAUGGCUAUAAUCUAGAUUGACUCUCUGAAAUAAACUAAAUUAGGUUACCCAGUAAGCUUUGAAGUUAGUGUUUGUAGUCAUAUCCUGACAAUAACUGGAGUUAGAGACAUGAGGCUGCAUCUAACAAGUCAACAGUGGAUCAAUCUCACCUGGUCAACAUCUGGUCUCUAAACAGCAUGAAACGUGGACAGAUCCCUCGAUUGAUCACACUAUAAACCACAGCAUCAGUUUUAGAAUUUAACAGAAGCACAUGUGAAGGUAAUGUGAUCAAAGAGAGAUUUGGUAAGAUACCACAUAACAAAAGAUGCAGCCUCAAAAGAGAGUUAGAGGGGUGAGAAACAUCACUUUGCCCAGGACAGACUAAACCUGGAUCUGAAGAACUAUAUGGUGCACAGGCAUUGGUUUUACACGAAGGCAUCUCAAAAUUGAAAAUAUAGCAAUCAGAGGAGAAAAUCAUGUAUUUCAACCAUAAAAAUGGAACAUGUUGAGAUGGCCGACAGAGAAAA